rnacentral:rRNA from 1 species
GUCUUGUUGAUUAUAAUUUCAAGUYUGACCUGCCCGGUGAGGGAGUUUAAACGGCCGCGGUAUUCUGACCGUGCAAAGGUAGCAUAAUCAUUAGUUUUUUAAUUGAAAGCUUGAAUGAAAGGUUUGAUGAAAAGAAGACUGUCUCUAUGAAAAUUUGUUAGAAUUUUAUUUUUAAGUUAAAAAGCUUAAAUUUGAAUAGAAGACGAGAAGACCCUAUAGAGUUUUAUAUUUUUGGGAUAUUAAAGUUUGAGGAUUGAAAAAUUUUAGUAUUUUUAGAAGUAUUUUGUUGGGGUGAUAGGAAAAUUUAAUGAACUUUUUUUUUGUAUAUAAACAUUUAUUUGUGGGUAGAUGAUCCUAGGAUAUAGAUUAUAAGACUAAAUUACCUUAGGGAUAACAGCGUAAUUUUUUUUAGAGUUCUUAUCGAAAGAAAAGAUUGCGACCUCGAUGUUGGAUUAAAAUUAAUUGCUGGCGCAGAGGCUAGAAAAUUAGGUCUGUUCGACCUUUAAAAUUUUACAUGAUCUGAGUUUAAACCGGUGUGAG